rnacentral:rRNA from 1 species
CAGCAGCCGCGGUAAAACGUAGGGUGCAAGCGUUAAUCGGAAUUACUGGGCGUAAAGCGUGCGCAGGCGGUUAUAUAAGUCAGAUGUGAAAUCCCCGGGCUCAACCUGGGAACUGCAUUUGAGACUGUAUGGCUAGAGUGUGUCAGAGGGGGGUAGAAUUCCACGUGUAGCAGUGAAAUGCGUAGAUAUGUGGAGGAAUACCGAUGGCGAAGGCAGCCCCCUGGGAUAACACUGACGCUCAUGCACGAAAGCGUGGGGAACAAACAGGAUUAGAUACCCCAGUAGUCCCUGUCUCUUAUAC